ACGUCACACAUAGUUACCGAUAUUUUGUUCAAUAUAGUAGGCCUACGCAUAAAGUAAUUUUCUACUAUUUUCUACGGUCGGCUAUUGGCGAUGCUUCCGCGAGGAAUAUGUCAUCUUCUGCUGACAUAUCUUUUUUUAUUAAUAUAUAUGAACUUCAAAAUUUCCAACGUUUCUCAAAACAACUUUUUUUUGCAUAUAAUAAUAUAAAUGUAUACGUGUAGAACAGGUAUGGUAUAGAAUGUAGGCCUAUAGACUGGUGUUUGUAUCAAGUUGUUUUCUUUUUUAUACUCUGCAAAGAUGAUUUCGAAAUGUUAAGGCUUUCGAAAAAACUAUCGAAUUUUUCCAUGAUAUUUACAGAGAAACGUCACAGUUGCAACCCCCCCCCCCCC